AUUGAACGCUGGCGGCAGGCCUAACACAUGCAAGUCGAACGAGUGGCGGACGGGUGAGUAAUGUCUGGGAAACUGCCCGAUGGAGGGGGAUAACUACUGGAAACGGUAGCUAAUACCGCAUACCAUCGGAUGUGCCCAGAUGGGAUUAGCUAGUAGGUGGGGUAACGGCGCACCUAGGCGACGAUCCCUAGCUGGUCUGAGAGGAUGACCACGCACACGUGAACGGAGACACUGGCCAGACUCCUACGUGAGGCAGCAGGGGGGAAUAUUGCACAAGGGGCGCAAGCCUUAUGCAGCCAUGCCGCGUGUAUGAAGAAGGCCUUCGGGUUGUAAAGUACUUUCAGCGAGGAGGCGUUACUCGCAGAAGAAGCACCGGCUAACUCCGUGCCAGCAGCCGCGGUAAUUC
rnacentral:rRNA from 1 species